UUCCAUCACCAGAGUCUGCUCAGGAUGCACUAACGUUAGUAGCACCCUGUUGUAUAGUGGUGGAUGAGAACCAGACUGGAUUCUGUAACCUCUUUCUAUAGUCUGCAGGACCCAUUGAGAUAUGUUUGGCAGACGCUUCCACUCUACCACACAUUGAUUAAUUGGCAGACCAUACCACACAUUGUACUUGUACAUUGUACCACACAAGUCAGAAGAAGAGGUAACGAACUUGCCACGUUAUAUUGGUUUCAACUGAGGUAAGGGUUUAAUGUUUCAUUUCAAAGUAUAAUCUAAUAUUAUUAAGUCUAAUAUUAGACUGUAGAAAAAAUAUGAUUUUGAUGAAAUUCGACAUUACUGUGUUGAUUGGUCUUGUUAGCCAGUAAGUUAGCUGCGUUUAACAAAUGAUACUUGUCUCAUGACGGAUUAAAGCAUUACUUAUGCGCUGAUAUUGUAAUAACUUGUCUUGAAAAACUGGCAAAAUUACAGAGACGAAAUAGAUCAAUGUUGUUCGCUAUUCUUUAUUAUUUUCUAGUAGGCCUAGUCAUUAACUGAGCUGUUCAUGUGAGUAGCCACUAGAAUUUUUCGAAAAAUCAAUUGCUUACGUUACAUAUCACAUGUCACGAUUAUGUAGUCUUGAAAAAAAAAUCCGUUUGUUUAGUGCGUUAAGGGUUUCUGUUAUUUUAGCAGCCGUUGGGUUUCUGACCAAUCACGGACAUGUGUGAGUGAAACAACAAUGGCAAGUCCGAGAUGCUGCGAAUCUGUCUUAAACGAAACCAGAGUUUCAUGUACACGACGCGUUUUAAAUAGUUUGACAUUCAUGCUUGCUCACUUUGUCAUUUUGUCUUCUUUUGUGAUGCUGAUUUAGUGCUAAAACAUCAUCUGACAUUUUGAAAAGAAUCCGGACAACAAAGUUAUACAAACGACAAAAAAGGUGCAAUGGAUGGACUAGAUGAAGUUUCAUUAUCAACUUUGAAAGCUGCCAACAUUGAUGAGGCCAUGCUCCACACCCUCAGUCGUGAUGACCUCAGAGACCUUUUUCCUGGCCCAGAACACUUUCUUAGGAGAAAAAGAGUGUGGGCUCUCAUUAGCCCAGAGCUGGCCCUCCAGUCAGCCCAAAGGAAUCCACUCCACUGAAGAAAAAAAAGCCCAAAGAAGACCCUACAGCUUCCCAGUCCUCCAGAAUAUGUUGUCUAUACAGACACCGAGUUAGAGCAAACUCGUAAGCAUUACUUUGAAAUGGUCCGCACUGGUAGAGAGCAGCAAUGUGUAAUGUCGAAAGAGUUGAGAUGCAGGCUGGUAAGAAACACGGUCACCAGCAUGGUUUCCAUCUUGCGCGCGAGUCAGCAGGGAGAGAUGGUCCGAUACCCUCCAAAACAUGAGGUUACUGCAAUGGCUAUAAAAAUAGUGGAGUACUAUCCAAUGCUGCAGGAUAAGGACAAAACUAUGAAACAUAAGAGUAUUUACAAUAAUCUCCACAAGAGGCUGCAAAAUGUGAGGUCCCCACUAAAGAGACGGACCCACACCAGAGAGGGGCCAUCCAAAAAAAAGAAUUCAAGUUGACUUCUCAUCAAGUGACAGAGAAGAUUAUGAUGCAGACACAAGUGGCGGAUCGACCGUAAUUUUGCAAGAAACACCUGGUAGCAGUUCUGAUGAUGGCCACACUGCAUCAUCAGACAUGGAUAGCCUGACAACACAGGCCAGACAUUAUAAAACACUGCAGGAGAUGUAUAAAAAAACAAAACCCAACCAAGAUGCUGUCUCCCACAUCCUUGACCUUGAGUUUCAAGCAAGACGAGCCUUCAUUGACAGUAAUGCCCUGAAAGAAGAGGAGAGGACCACAAAGAUCCUUGAUGCGUAUCCAUGUUUCAAGGAACUUCAUAAUGUGAUGGGUGAGCUGUGUCGGAUCUUGGGUAAGGGCAGCAGCAAAUUCAUGGACAAAUUGAAGAAAAGAUGGGAAGACUUCUGUGCCAAGGUGCAGUUUUAUGCUGUUUGGAAGAAGGUGAUGAAGCCACCCAUGACCCUGGAUGGAGGUAAGUCACAUGUGUCUUGUAGACUGUUGCAAUCAUUUUUUCAUAACCUCUAGUAAAUAGUUUUUGUUUAUUGAGAAUCGUUUUUUUUUUAUUUUUUAAAUAGGGUUUGUUUAAAUUAAUACAGAAUUGUGCUGCUCUACUUUCCAUGGUAACAAAAUAAGAAUUUUCUAAACUCAGGAUCUACCUUAUAAUUAUCUUGUGUAGAAAGAAUAUUGUGUGAAGUAAACGUUUGUUCUGUUUUUAAUGGAAUAUGCCAUCGCGCUAAUCAAGGCACUCCCCACACUCUUUCCUUCACCAACUGCCCCACCGAAGAAGCUGGGACAUGCCAGUGAGGCAUUGCUUCAUGUCCUUCAGCGAACUGAAGAUCCCACAAUCUACCUUCAGAAGAGAUCUCUCUCCAGCCCUGUUUUGCUGUUUGGUUCCAACUGUCUGAUCGCUAUUGGGACCACUCCCGUCACCACAUUUGCCAAGGAAGACCUCAGUGAAGGCCUGCUGUAUCUGAUGGCUUAUUACUACACCUUUCACCUCACAUAUCCCAAGUGUGUGGCAACCCUGCUUUCUGUAAUUCAGACAGAAGUAUUGGAGGACACUAUUCACGAGAGGGAUGCCACUGCUUCGUACAAAAAGGCAAUGGCGGAGUGGAAGGACUUUAUUGGAAAGUAGAGUUGGUAAUUUAGUGUGAAUUUGUAGUCCCAUACCAGAUUUUUUAAAAAAAGACAUGGGCUUCUUCAGUGUUCUGGUAAAAAUCUGGAUUGGUUAAAGGGACUGUUCUGUUCAAGUUUUUUUUGUUUUUGUUUUUUUUGAUUGGGGGGUGGAGGAGGGAUGUGGGAAUUGUGCUGCUCUACUUUCCAUGGUAACAAAAUAAGAAUUUUCUAAACUCAGGAUCUACCUUAUAAUUAUCUUGUGUAGGAAGAAUAUUGUGUGAAGUAAACGUUUGUUGUUCUGUUUUUAGUGGAAUAUGCCAUAUAGCGCUAAUCAAGGCACUCCCCACACUCUUUCCUUCACCAACUGCUGUGGGGAUGUGGGAUGGGGGGUGGAGGAGGGGUGGGGUGGGUAGAGGAUGG